rnacentral:lncRNA from 1 species
UGUGUAUUUUACAAAGUCAGGGAGUUGGUAAACUUUUUUUGUAUCUUCUUUCAUACUUCGAUAAAUGGGAAUCUAAUUAAGAAUCUUAUAGAUACAAACCGACAGUUUUUUAAAUUUAUUUCACAAUAUUGACGUGGAGAACUGAAAAUGUUUACUAAAGGUAUCAUACAUAUGACCUGUGUGCAUACAAGUCAUCAUCUUCUUCAGUGUUUCUAUACAGUGUAACAUAUGUCUGGAAAGCAUCUAAAAAACUUUGCAAAAACAAAAGCAGUAUGGACUUUCCAAUAAUGUAAUAACAAGGAUGAAGGAACAAAACAACUGAUAUUUUUAAUCCCUAUACAAUACUUUUUUGUACAGUUUAAACAUGAUGACAGAUACAUAAUACAUAAACUAAAGCAUAAUAAAUAUUGAUAUUAAUUACAUAAUUUAAACUCAGGUUAUUCAGUAAACAUAAAAUUCUACUAAAAUAGAUUAUCACAGCCAAGUAGAGCCAAAUCUGCACAUUAAAUAUCAGUUUGUUAUGAAUGAUUAGUAUAUACACUAGAAAAAAGAACUAUUACUUAACCACACACAAACAGUACAGCAACCUAACAUGGUUUUAUCUAUAAUUACAGUAUUCAUAUCUUGAGUAAAUGUUAUAACAUUUUGUAACCAUACACAUCAGCCCAUAUAUACUUAAAAUAAUUGAAUGUGUUUAUUUUACAAAACAUAACAAUAAAACAAAUAAAUGUGACAUUUAUAGCAUUUGUAGGGAACCCGGGUCACUGAUUUAUAAACCAUCAAACAGACAGAGGAAAAUACAACAGAACUACCAUGACUACUGUAACAUGUGUAAUGUUAACCUUAUUGAGUAGGAUUACUAUGAAAUUGAAUCUGGUAUCCCUUGAACUAGAUUUUUGUAGAUGUUCCUGAGAUAGGAUUUGUGUAAAACUAAAUCAGGUAUCCCUUGUACAGAAGUAAUGUAAAACUAUACCAGUAUUUCUGGAAAAGACUUGGACAAUGUAUCCCUAAGAUAGUAUUAGCAUAAAAACAUAUCAGCUGUCCACACAAUAGAAGCAAUGUAAAACUAAAACAGUUAUCUUCGUACAAGAUUAUGAUCCUAAAUCCCUUAAAUGGGAAAUGUGCAAAAAUAAGUCAGGUAUUCCUAGUAUAGUAGUAAUGUAAAACUACACAAGUAUUUCUAGAAAAGACUUUAACCAUGUAUUAGCAUACAAACAUAUCAGCUGUCCAAACCAUAGAAGCCAUGUAAAACUGAAAUGGUUUUCUCUGGACAAGAUUACGAUUGUGAAUCCCUUCAAUGGAAAUGUGUAAAAAUAAGUCAGGUAUUCCUUAAAUAGGGUAAGUAUGUAAUUCCUUGUUAAUCAAAUGUCUGUCAUCAAUUUUAUUAUAACCAUAACACAAACAAUUGCCAUGCAGUUUGAUUCAUAGAAUAAAAAAUUUUACUUUAAUGUCAAGGUUUAAAAUUAGUUUAUGAAGGUGAGAAUUAAAAGACUGCCUUUUUUCAGAAACUGUAUUCAAUUUCUCCAAUGUAACGCCACUAUUGUUUUCUAUUUCAUUUUUCUUUUUCAAUUUCUCCAAUGUAACGCCACUAUUGUUUUCUAUUUCAUUUUUCUUUUUAA